rnacentral:rRNA from 1 species
GAUGAACGCUGGCGGCGUGCUUAACACAUGCAAGUCGAGCGAGAAAAGUUCUUCGGAACUUUUCUAGCGGCGGACGGGUGAGUAACACGUGGGCAACCUGCCUCCUAGAGGGGAAUAGCCUUCCGAAAGGAAGAUUAAUACCGCAUAAUAUUGUUGAAAGGCAUCUUUUAACAAUCAAAGGAGCAAUCCGUUAUGAGAUGGGCCCGCGGCGCAGUAGCUAGUUGGUGAGGUAACGGCUCACCAAGGCGACGAUGCGUAGCCGACGUGAGAGGGUGAUCGGCCACAUUGGAACUGAGACACGGUCCAGACUCCUACGGGAGGCAGCAGGGGGGAAUAUUGCACAAUGGGGGAAACCCUGAUGCAGCAACGCCGCGUGAGUGAUGAAGAUCUUCGGAUUGUAAAGCUCUGUCUUUAGGGACGAUAAUGACGGUACCUAAGGAGGAAGCCACGGCUAACUACGUGCCAGCAGCCGCGGUAAAAC